rnacentral:rRNA from 1 species
AGAUUGAACGCUGUGGGAGCUUAACACAUGCAAGUCGACGGGGAAAGUGUAGCUUGCUACUUGUGACCUAGCGGCGGACGGGUGAGUAAUGCUUAGGAAUCUGCCUAUUAGUGGGGGACAACAUUCCGAAAGGAAUGCUAAUACCGCAUACGUCCUACGGGAGAAAGCAGGGGAUCUUCGGACCUUGCGCUAAUAGAUGAGCCUAAGUCGGAUUAGCUAGUUGGUGGGGUAAAGGCCUACCAAGGCGACGAUCUGUAGCGGGUCUGAGAGGAUGAUCCGCCACACUGGGACUGAGACACGGCCCAGACUCCUACGGGAGGCAGCAGUGGGGAAUAUUGGACAAUGGGCGGAAGCCUGAUCCAGCCAUGCCGCGUGUGUGAAGAAGGCCUUUAUGGUUGUAAAGCACUUUAAGCGAGGAGGAGGCUAAUCUAGAUUAUACCCUAGGGAUAGUGGACGUUACUCGANAAUAAGCACCGGGUAACUCUGUGCCAGCAGC